rnacentral:rRNA from 2 species
GGGAGGCAGCAGUGGGGAAUAUUGCACAAUGGGCGCAAGCCUGAUGCAGCCAUGCCGCGUGUAUGAAGAAGGCCUUCGGGUUGUAAAGUACUUUCAGCGGGGAGGAAGGCGAUAAGGUUAAUAACCUUGUCGAUUGACGUUACCCGCAGAAGAAGCACCGGCUAACUCCGUGCCAGCAGCCGCGGUAAUACGGAGGGUGCAAGCGUUAAUCGGAAUUACUGGGCGUAAAGCGCACGCAGG